UACGUAGGGUGCGAGCGUUGUCCGGAAUUACUGGGCGUAAAGAGCUCGUAGGUGGUUUGUCGCGUUGUCCGUGAAAACUCACAACUCAAUUGUGGGCGUGCGGGCGAUACGGGCAGACUGGAGUACUGCAGGGGAGACUGGAAUUCCUGGUGUAGCGGUGGAAUGCGCAGAUAUCAGGAGGAACACCAAUGGCGAAGGCAGAUCUCUGGGCCGUAACUGACGCUGAGGAGCGAAAGCGUGGGGAGCGAACAGG
rnacentral:rRNA from 1 species